rnacentral:lncRNA from 1 species
AAAAAAAUUAUUUAUCACAGGGUCAUCAGGAUUUUAGAGAUGCUAAGGUGGGGUAUGAUCAAAAAAAGGUUGGGAAAUACUAUCUGUAGUCUAAGGGCCGUCAAAGUGGAACGGAUAGUAGAGCUUGAGAACCUUAACCUCCCUAAUGGAACAGAUAUUGUAGACGUCUGCCAAAGAGAUAUGGAGAACCUCAGAUUAAAGGACAGGCAAAGGCAUAUAAAGAAAUUAAAAUGGCUUCUUAGAACCCAACUCAAUGGAAGGAAAAGGGGGUCAAGCCUUAGGCCUGGAGGAUGUGGCGGUGAUAGUAGGCAAUUUUCAGCUGCCAAUGUUUGCAGAAGUG